rnacentral:rRNA from 1 species
GGGAAACCCAGGCUAAUACCGCAUACGUCCUACGGGAGAAAGGGGGCUCCGGCUCCCGCUAUUGGAUGAGCCUAUGUCGGAUUAGCUAGUUGGUGAGGUAAAGGCUCACCAAGGCGACGAUCCGUAGCUGGUCUGAGAGGAUGAUCAGCCACAUCGGGACUGAGACACGGCCCGAACUCCUACGGGAGGCAGCAGUGGGGAAUAUUGGACAAUGGGCGAAAGCCUGAUCCAGCCAUGCCGCGUGUGUGAAGAAGGCCCUCGGGUUGUAAAGCACUUUCAGCGAGGAAGAACGCCUAGUGGUUAAUACCCAUUAGGAAAGACAUCACUCGCAGAAGAAGCACCGGCUAACUCCGUGCCAGCAGCCGCGGUAAUACGGAGGGUGCAAGCGUUAAUCGGAAUUACUGGGCGUAAAGCGCGCGUAGGUGGCUUGAUAAGCCGGUUGUGAAAGCCCCGGGCUCAACCUGGGAACGGCAUCCGGAACUGUCAAGCUAGAGUGCAGGAGAGGAAGGUAGAAUUCCCGGUGUAGCGGUGAAAUGCGUAGAGAUCGGGAGGAAUACCAGUGGCGAAGGCGGCCUUCUGGACUGACACUGACACUGAGGUGCGAAAGCGUGGGUAGCAAACAGGAUUAGAUACCCUGGUAGUCCACGCCGUAAACGAUGUCGACCAGCCGUUGGGUGCCUAGCGCACUUUGUGGCGAAGUUAACGCGAUAAGUCGACCGCCUGGGGAGUACGGCCGCAAGGUUAAAACUCAAAUGAAUUGACGGGGGCCCGCACAAGCGGUGGAGCAUGUGGUUUAAUUCGAUGCAACGCGAAGAACCUUACCUACUCUUGACAUCCUGCGAACUUGUGAGAGAUCACUUGGUGCCUUCGGGAACGCAGAGACAGGUGCUGCAUGGCUGUCGUCAGCUCGUGUUGUGAAAUGUUGGGUUAAGUCCCGUAACGAGCGCAACCCUUGUCCUUAUUUGCCAGCGCGUAAUGGCGGGAACUCUAAGGAGACUGCCGGUGACAAACCGGAGGAAGGUGGGGACGACGUCAAGUCAUCAUGGCCCUUACGAGUAGGGCUACACACGUGCUACAAUGGCCGGUACAAAGGGUUGCGAGCUCGCGAGAGUCAGCUAAUCCCGAAAAGCCGGUCUCAGUCCGGAUCGGAGUCUGCAACUCGACUCCGUGAAGUCGGAAUCGCUAGUAAUCGUGAAUCAGAAUGUCACGGUGAAUACGUUCCCGGGCCUUGUACAC